CCUAGCCAACAUGGUGAAAUCCUGUCUCUACUAAAAAUACAAAUAUUAGCCAGGAGUGGUGGCUUAUGCCUGUAAUCCCAGCUACUUGGAGGGUUGAGGCGAGACAAUCACUUGCACCAGGGAGACUACAGUGAACUGAGAUGGCGCCACUGCACUCCAGCCUGGCAACAAGGGAAACUCCCUCUUAAAAAAAAAAAAAAAAAAACCUUAAUGGCUGAAAUCCAAAUUCCUUAGCAUGGCAUAAAAAUGUGAUCCUGUCAUCCCUCAAAAUAGUGUCCAAACUUCUUAGCAUACUAUGUACAUUUAAGUAUAUAACUCCUCUUUAUAAAACCUGCUAUCUGUAAAUGACCCAACUCCUCAGCAUGGAGCGCUGCCUGGGUGCCCUCAUACCCAGGGGACGGACGCCUCUGCUCAGAAGUGGUCUGAUGCUUAUUCAUUAUCUGGUUCAUCAAAUCCAGACACCUUAACUUAAAAUCUGUUUACAAUCCAAUAUCUCUGGAGACAAAACUCAUCAAUUUACUCCUUAAAACUCUUUACUGGCUAACAUCCAAAUGCCUCUGUGUAAGAAUUCAACAAUGAGCUCAUCCCCCACUCCAAAUAGAACACUUGAAUGCCUUCAGCUCUCACAUAAAAUCACAUCUCCUUAGCAUGUGAGAAAAAUCUGAUCAGAUCAUCUUUAUCAUAGAAAUCCUGUCUUUUAGCUAGCCAAAAUGCAGGUGUUGGAGCCUGUAACUUCUCAACUGAAAACUUCUCAAACUUUCUUCGUUGCCUGUAACAUAAAGUCCCAACUACUUAACACAAAAUGGAACAGUUUACCAUGUAAUUUUUCUUCAGGAGAGUCUAUUAAAAAUCCAAAAUCUCAUUCUGUUACUGCUUUAAGCCCUUUAUUGGCUUAAAUCCAAAGUUGUAAACAUGAUAUAAAAAUUUGAUCAUGUCAUCCCUUAAAAUAAAAUUCACACUUCCUAGGUCAAUUUAUAAAAUUUGAUCUUACAACUCCUCUUCAAAAUCUUAGUGUCUCUUAAUUGUAAAUGGAAGAAAAGUCAAAAUUCUUAGCAUAAAAUAUGAAUUUUAUUUUGUAAUUUACUGCAUAUUAUUUAUCAAAUGCAAAAAACUCACCAGGUCACUCUGUUAGAACUUUUUAUUGGCUAAAUCAAAUUCCUAGGCGUAUGCAAAAGUCUAAUCAUAUUGGAGCCUCAAAAUAAAUUCCAAACUUCUUUUCAUAUUUGCAAUAUUGAUCAUGUAACUCCUCUGGUUAAAAUCUUUCAGCUUUGGUGUCAACAUUAAUCUCAUCUCCUAGGCAAGCUCUGCAGGCUGAAAUUGGUAUUCCCACAAGACAGAAAGGCACAAUAUUUGCGCAUGAUUGUUAAAUUGGUGGCUGUGAUUUUUGUUUUACAAUUUCCAGUGUUUCUUUCUUGCUUGUAAUAUGAAUCCCAAAGCCAUUAUCCGUAAAAUAUAUUUUAUCAUGUUUUUUCUGCCCACUUAUCUUCUACAAGCAAAAAUCUCAUCAUCACAUUUCUUAAAACCCUUUGGCAAAAAUCCAGACUCCUUAGCAUGAUAUAAAACUUUGAUCCUGUCAUCUCUCAAAAUAAAGUCCAGAUUUCUUCCCAGGAAACUCAAAUUAUGAAACUCUCGCUUAAAAUCUCAACGUGUUUUCAUCACUACAAAAAGCCUCACCAUCUUAGCAAGGCACCCACUUUUAAUCAUGGCAGUCCCAGCUUCAAACCUGUCAAGUUCCAUGUCUACAACAUCAAAUCCAAAUGCCUGAGCAUGAAAUGAAAAGGGGAGCAAGUAUUUCUCACGUUGAAAAUCGUUAGAUUGCUCUUAUUAAACCAUAAAGCUUAAGUUCCUUUCGCACGAAACCAAAACUUUUUCACCAUCUACAGUUUCCAGCUCCCAUUUCCUGUUCCUCAUGCUUCCCUCUGAAAAGACUGAGUUUCCCAUUCUCCAGCCUCCAAAUGUGUUUCGAUUUUAUUGUUCCCGGAUGUUAAUUUAUUUCUUUUAACCAAGUCCCUCACACAGAAUUCAUCAAUUCAUACAGCAGCAUGUCCUGAUUGUUUUUCUGGGCCAGGCACAGUGUUGGAUCCCCAUGGAGGGAAAUGGAGGCAGACCCAUCUUGCAGAUCAUUACCUGGGAGGACAUGAGGCCCCGCCCUGGAGACGAAUACCCCACUGGAGGUGAGUGGGGGCCUUGGAAGCAGGGCGAGGGCUUCCCUCCACCCCUGCUGACCACUCGCCUCUCUGGGAGGUUCUGGGCAUUUUUGGGGCCUGUCAUCCCAGUUUUGGCUUUAGGUGGGCACUACGGGCAUCCCACCUGGCUCCAACUGCCCACCAGCUGGCCUGCCAAAGCCUUGGCCCUGCCUCUUCCCUGGACUUUGUGGAAAUCAUAUUCUCAGUCUUUCAAAUGUGACUCAAUUCAUGAUGUUCUCAAAUCUCAUGACAAUUUCUUUAAGAAAUGUCUACUGAUUUGGAAAUUCCCACCUUAUAUUAAAAAAAAGCCCAGAACUUAGCGCACCUGGUUUGGGGUCAGAACUGCCUUUGAGGUCUUCAAGUGGGACCCUCUUCCCCGCAGCACUCAGAGAUAGACGCCCCAGCCUCAGCACCUUCAGUGCCCAGCGCCUCGGUCGGGUCAGCUCCUUGCUUGCCUCUGAGCCAGUGGCCCAUUGGGUCAGGGCUGCCAACGUGUGUCUAUGAAGGGUUGGGUGUGGGGGGGGCAUGGGGGGGACAAAUCCCUCAGCGAAUACCUCUCUCUGUCAGCUCGCCUGUACAGUAAAGGAAAUCUGAUUUUAAAAAUAGAGCUUGGAAGAGGAGAUGAGAGGAUAUUUAGGAGCAGAGUUCAGCCUGGGGCGGGGGGCGGGGGUGGAAGAAUUAGGGGAGAGGUGAGGACAGGGGAGAAGGGUGGGAGGCCGGGGGGCUGUGGAGGAAGGUGAAGCUGGUGAGGAUCAGGGAGGCUAUGAGGAUGGAAUGGGAAACAGGGGAGAUGUGGGUUCUCUGGAAUGCUGGCCAUGGCCCCUUUCGUGGCCUCCAGAAAUGAGCCCAGUCACACCUGGGGCCCCGGCUGUGUGGGCUGCCAGGAUGGGUGUCAGGCAAAGACCCCUGUCCAUCUUGGCCUCCCUGUAGGUGAUGCUCAGAGCUCCUGGGGUUUGAGGGACAUAGCUAUGGGUCUUAGGGGUGAAGUGGCCUCAAAAUGAAUAUCCCCUGGCAACUUCCUCUGCUACCUGGCCUGCUGGGCGUAGCGUCAUAGUGAGGGUGGGCAGGCAAGGACCCUGGGAGGGUUUGUUUUUACUGAUUGAUUGUUGUUAUUUAUUGAUUUUGUUGAACUCAUGUCAAGGUUAAGAUGAGUCCAUGGCAACUUGGGAGCCUUCCUGUUCAUACCUGUUCCCUGGUAUGAACAAGUGUCAAGGACAGGUCAUUCCUCUGGUGCAGCUUGCUAGGUGGGUGUGGGUGAGGAGGAUGGAGAGAUUCUUGGAGGCUUCCUGAGGCCCUCAUGAGGAGCUUGGAUUGGGUCCUGGGGGUCCUAGUGGACUGUGGAGUCUGCAGGGGCAGCAGCCUGGCAUAGCUCAUGUUAGAGUCCCUACCCCCGGGACCCCUCAACCCUGCACACUCCUGACUUGUGGCUAAAGACGACAUGAGCCUUGCGGGGUGGGAGGCCAUUGGCAUCUCGGCCCAGGGCAGCCCAGACUCGGACACUCCCCCUCUACCACUAUGGUCUAAACUAACGUGCUUGAAUGCCAGGCCCCGUGGGCCUUGAACAUCAUUGCAGUGAUGGGGAAUUACAGUAGAACUAGGGUGUCCCCAGGGCGUCUCUAAAUCCCAAACCACCCAGCAGGGUGGGGUCUUCUGCAGAGGAACCCCCAGCCCCUCACCUUCCUAAGCCAUUGAGGUGACGGGCAGUGCCCGGGCCCCACAGUGCUCUUGUGCUGUGUCCCUGCCCCCUCCACGCUUGACUGGCAGCUCCAGGGGGCAGCUGGAUCACUCUGCCCAGAAUAACCCUGGGAAGGGGACCGUGCUGCCUGUGGGAGGGGCUGUGUGAGGGGUCACGGGUGAGCUUGUCCUUGUCUUGUCCAAAUCAGUGGGGCCAAUCAGCUGCUCCUUAGGCUGAUCUUGCCUUUCAAGGCAAGUGGACAGGGACAGGCUUGCACCAGCUUCCUAGUCUAGACAGGCACCGACUGUCAGUGUGAGCUUCCUCUCCCAGGUCCUCAGUUUCCCCAAGUCUGCAGGGAGGGUUUGGGCGGUGGUCUUCUCACUGUGCUCCUGUAGCUCUGGGGUUCCUAACAGGUGCCUGUGGGGGACUGCUGGGAAACAGUAACGAGGGGAGAUGGCUGGCCCAAUAGGUGGAGCUCAGGGACAUGCAUUCCUGCCUCAGUUCCACCAGCUGCUCCUCUAAAUUGGGGUCAUCGUAUUAUUUCAUUUAAACAGAGGCUGCCAUAUGUGAGCAAUGGUUGAAAACACAGACUGUGGUCUCUUCUAAUGCUUGUCUUGAUAGGGGUCUCAGAGUGGAACGUGCUCGUCUCGGUGGGCUCUCUGCUCUCCCGGUGGGCUGCAUGGACAAGCCAGGAGGCUGUGGGCCUAGGAGUUGGCUGUUCUUAGAGCAGGAAGGUGGAGACUGCAAGGCAAACAAGGAGGGCCCGGCCUUGGGGCCUGGUGGAAGCAGGAUGAUGAGAGCCUGGCUAACCUUACAGAGCCUCCUUUUCCCGACCUACAGAGAGGCAGGAGCACCUCCUUUCGAGGGAAGAUGGGCAUGUUAAGCCCUUUGUUAACUGUAAGUGCUGUAAGUCAGGGAUUGCUGCUGUCGUUAGGAUUCUUAUCAUUGCUUCCAGAACACCCACUGUAAUUGUAAUGGUCAAGAUUUGGACAGCAUUUCAUGCACGGUGUCAACUUUAGUCUUCCCAUUAACCCCACGAGGGGACGAUGCCCUGCUUUGAGAGUGAGCAAACCAGAGUCCAGGGGUGAAGCUGGACUGCCCUGGAGCCAUAAUGAUCAGCGAUAACGGUGCAUGGGCCCGGGCCAUGGGACCUUCCCCAGGAAGGGUAGGCUGGUGGCUGGAGUUGGUGAGGGUAUAUGCGGAGAUGGAAUGUGACCCAGAUGGGCUGAUUAGAUGUAUUUAUUAAAUACAUCCUAAUGAGUCUCUGAGUGUCUGCUCCGUGUCAGGCAUGGUUCUAGCCACUCACCCCUGAAACUGACUUUGCUCCUUGUGAGUUGGGGGAUGUGCUGCCGUCUUACAGAGUUAGCUGGGAUUUGGAGGGCAAGGUGCCGGCACAAGUCCCCAGAGAGACAGAGGCAGGGUUUAAAGCCAGGUUUCUCGUCUCUCCCCUAGUAGACGGUGAGGGCAGGCGCAGAUGCCCAGAGUGUGGUUGGCAGUUGCCCUCUGGGGACCUGUUGGGCCAGAGAUGCCAGCUUCAUCCCAUGGCAUUGAUACGGCCAGCCUUGUGGCCUGAGGGGUGUCCAUACCACAAGAGUGGGGGUCUCAGUGUCUGCCUCCAUCUCCCCCAGAGGUGCGUGCUGUCACUCCCAACUCAUUCUGGCUUAUUUGGUGUUGGAGGAGGGAGAGGACAGCUGGCCCAGGACCUUCUAAUUAUAGCUGUUGAAGUAUGCGAAUCGAGGCCUGGAGUGCCCAGCACCAUGUCGUGGUUUUUUCUUACAGACAAAUGAAUCCUUUAACCCUUCUCCUGAGCUCCAGCCCAUCCCGUUCACUGCCCCCACUCCCCCGCCCACCCGCCCGCUCUCUGGGGGAGGUCGACCUGGGACCUCCGCUCCAUGUCUUACCUUGGCUGCAGGCGCUCAAGUGGAUCUCCUCUGGUCCUGUGCGACUCGAACCUCACUGCUUUCUGAAAAGUGGUGUGAAGGGGAGACGGCUGCCUUCUCCUGGGAAGGGAGCAGAUGCCUGGCCCAGGACCAAAUCAAAAGCUGAGGCUCACUGCCCCCAGUGGGCAGUGGGUCGGGGUGUUCCUGAGGCCAGGUCGUGGCCCAGCCCUGCUGCCCCCAGGAUGGCCCCUGGCUUGGAGGGGUGUGGGGCCCCGUUAGUCUGACGUUGAAGAAGACCAGCCUUCCAGUCUCGCUUGGUGGCCUGCCAGAGCCCUGGGCACCCCAGUGUUGCCUGGAUCUGACUCUGCCUAAGUGAAAACUGCCUCGAAUUCUUUCUUGCACCGAUGGGCAGAUGGGCAAUGUCCGAGGAUCAUGUUGUCGGCCCUGUGGCGCGGGGUAAGGCUGCAGUGUUGUAAAGCUGCAAACAGCCUUCUGGGUGGGGUCAGGCUGGCAUCCCCCCACUGCCCCAGCCUGUUCCAUGCCAGGUUCCCCUGCCUGCUGUGUGCAGGGCCCCAGAACCCAGGGUUAUGGGGUGCAUGGGCAGGAGUUGCAUCUCAGUGUUGUGAGUUUUGAGGAUGACAUUUGGGCGUGAUUAUAGGUUGGAAAUGGCUGAUUGCCAUUAUGGCUUCUCCUUGCCAGGGGUCUGGACCCAAAACAGGAGAAGGACAUGUGACGACUGGAGUAGCGGUGAGGGGCUCUGGGGUAAGACAGGGCUGAGAGGGAGCGUGUGGACCUCUGGGACAGAGUUAUAUUCUAGAAAGAGCGCAGGCUCUGGGGGAGAGGGGCUAUGAGGCUAGGCAGCAUCCCCCUUGGGAGCUUGUCAGGAGUAGCAGGAGGCACUGGCAGUGUUCUGGGCUUUUCGUCCCUUUUUUUCCCUCCCAGGGGAGGGGAGACGAGGCACUGUAGGGAGCGAGCCACCCUGAGCACAGACCCAGCUACGAACAGACAUCGGGCUGCAUGUCCUUGGCAAAUCCCCAAGUGUUUCUGUGCCUUGGUUUCCUGAUAUUAAAAAAAAAAAAAAGACUCAUAAUCUCUCUCACACAGAGCUAUUGAGAUCUCAAUGAGGAAAUAACGCAAAUAAAUCAUCCAGCACAGCAGCCAACACACAGUACCCGGCAAAACUCGGUGGCUCUCCGCAUCUUACCCGUCACAAAAUGCUUAGCCCCUCCUGGAGACAGGCAGCCGCUCCCUUUCAGGGCAGGGAGACCCAACAGAGGAAAACAAAAACUCCAGAGAGAACGCGAGGGGGAAAUAAAAGCUGGCGCUUCACCCCCUCCCAGACACCUUCCCAGGGAAACAAACGUGUACCUUCCCCAACACCUGGGGGCCAGGGAAGGGGUGCCCCACCGCUUUUCAUCCGGCUUUCCAAAAAAGUUUGGGAAGAGUUUAUUUUUACGUAAAUAACGUAUAAAAAGUCAGAGUGCUCCUUGGGCAGAUUUUUUUGAGGCUCAUAUUUUAUAGACUUUGGCAAGGGUCGCUCAGAAGGAACAGUGGUUACAGUCUCCAGAGGUUCAUAAUUCCUGGAAGAACUUCUGGCUAAACCUGACUUCUCCUAAAUUUCACAGAAAAUUCUCCCUGGGCUGGGCUCAGCCUAAAUGAGCUUUUUGUGCGUUGGUCCAGCCGCACUAGUGGGUGUAUGACUUGCACAUUGCCUUUACACAAAAGUGAACCUCCUCGGCCACUGUGCACAAAGGCGCCACUCUCCGAAAUGUUUGCUUUAUUUACUUGGGAGCGUGAGCCUGGUUGGGCACGUCUGACACGGGGGAUAUUUCUCCGAGGCUCUAUGUAGGGCUGCCCAGCUCUCUGCAGUUUCUUCCUGCGCUUCAGGCAGAAACCCAUGUCCUAACUUCCUCCAGCACAGGGCAAGGGACCCAGAGCAAAAAAGGGGUAGGGACACUUGUCCUCUCCCUGGCCGGCAAGGGCUAAAGAGCUUGCUACCCCAUGGCGGUUGCCUCUAAAUAGGGAUUUGGGUGGGUGACUUUUCACAUCUAUGCCAAAGCCCUUCAGAACUGUUUCUGCACCACCAGCUAUCCUGAACCAGAAAUCCCUGUUCACAGAAUUUCCCAGGUGGGUGCCUCUCGUUCUGCACCCCUCCCCCAUUUAUGUAAACGUCACUCUCCCAAACAUUUUCACACCAGCAGCUUCAGAUCGCCCCUUUCAUAGGUUAAAACAGCAACACCAACAAGACCAACAUAAACGGAGGCUCUGAGAAACAGUUUUUCCUGAAGGGCUUGCAGUGCCCAACCGAGCUGCCAGGGCCGUCUGUCUGUCUGUUCCCGGGAAGGCAAACCAGCCUGCACGCUCCACCAGCAACGCGAUGCUGCCCCCCCACGGCGGGUCAGGGCAGCUGUGGCGACCCCAGGGCUGAUAGAUUGGGUUGUCAGGAGCGGGACAAUGAGGCGGCAGUGAGGAAGGGCUCUAUCCUUUAAUGGCUCUGCCCUCCUUGAAAUUUUUCUGCCCCACAGAGGUGCAUCUCUGCUCCUGGGGACCCUGGGCAUUUCACAGACAAGGAGCCCUGGCUGGCCUCACAGCCAUCCCCCAUAUGCUCUCACACACACGCACACACACAUGCUGAGUGCCUGUGCUGGGAACAAAGGCAAGAAAACUCCUUUAGAAACCGCAAAACAGAGGCUUCUCUAGCAGAAGUCCCCUGAUAAAGGCUCUGUCCACCCACAGUUCCUGGGAACCGAACCCCUGUGAAUGGGCCAGAAAAGGUGGCUCCUGACCACAGUGUGGGCUGCAUUCAUCAGCAGGCAGGCCCCCCAGCCCUGCUGCUGUGCGAGGAGCUUUCACGAGUCCCCAGAACAUCCAAGUCACAGUCUGGCAGCUGGCUGUCUCUGUGGCUGCUGCUCAUCCUCCAGAAUAGGGCCCCUGAAACUGCCAGACCCCCUCCCUCUACUCAUUCCAUCAGUCUGCCAGCCUGUUGUCCCAGAGGGGACACAGGCCAGCUCUGUGGGCCCAGGAGCCAGGGAAGGUGCUUGGCCACUCUAGGUGUCCUGGCCCUCGAGAGGGGAGUUGGCUGCAGGACAGUCCUCACCUCCCUCCACCAAGCCCUGGGCACUCACCCCCAUUCUCUGCUCCUCUCCCUCAUUGCCUCAAUGGGACAGAGGCACCCCGCCAACCAUCUCUGUGCCUUUGCCAUUUAGCCCAGGGCAGGCUACUUGGGAGAGGCUGUACAGCCUUGCACUGACCCCUACCUGGUCCCCUUUGGCCACCUCGCUCACUUGCCCACUCGCCUGCCCGGGAGUUGGUGCUGUGGGAGCUUCCUAAAGGCCUAAACAUGUGGGCUGCCAGCCCGGGCAGGAAGCCAUGCUGCAGCCUCCUCGGCCAUGCACCAGCCUGCCUGUCUCGGCUCGGAUGCCUCCUGUAACAGGGAGCUCCCUCUCCCUGCAAGCAGCCUGCUCAGGGCUGGCAUACGGAGCUGCUUUGCUGAGCCCUCCCCCGCCCUUUGUAUCUGCCUUCUCCUUGGCUGUGCGGCAGUCCCCUAGCCCCCUCUGCCCUCCGAUCUCUGCAGGCUGCAGGCUCCCUCUCUUUUCAGUCUUCUCCUUUCUGUGCUGAAUAGCACAGCCCCCACCAAUGGUGGAAACAGGUUUGGGGGCCUCUGGACCUCUGCUAACACCUCUGCCUCUGCCCCUCUAGACCUGGGACAGAGCCCUUUGCCCUGCCGUUCUGCAGGAAGCCCAGGGGAGGGCGUGGUGCUCCCCUCCUGUGGCCAGCUGCUCCGUGUCUAUCUGUUCAGCAGCUUCUGAGCCCUCUCGGGCUGUUUUAUGGCCCCUUUUCCAGUUGCCAGGGAGAACACUCUCUAUGCAGCCCCCUGCCUUUUCUGCAGGAGCUGCUGGACUCCUGGCUAGCCUGGUCAGCCCUGUAGCAGAAGCAGGAGCCGCAGCAGGCAGCCGCGGCAGGGCUGGGGUCCCCUGAGCCAGACAGACCGGCUCUCUAGCUGCAAGACAAUUCCCUUUACUUUUCAGAGUCUCGGCUUUUCCCCUGUGAAAUGGAGAUGAGAGUUUCCCCGUCACCGGCUUGAACUGAGGACUAAAUGAGAUAAGUGUAGCCUUGCACACAUCAGACACUUCAUCAGUGCUUGUGCAGUAGACGAUGGGACCCAGGGGGAGCGAGUUGGCUUGGUCAAGUCAGUGUUGAAAGGAUCUACUGCUCUUUCAAGGGGAUCUGGGGCUCUAGAAGGUAAGUAGGGGUUGAAAUUUAGGGGUUGAAUGUCUGCCUGGACCUUAAAUGAGAAACCCAAUCUCAGCAGAGCCCAGUGUUCUCACUGCAAAAUGGGGUAAGUUCAGCCUCAUGUCUAAUAUGUUAGAAACACUCAGCAAACAGUAGCUGCUAGAGUAAUUCUUUUUCCCAGAAAUCUUCAAAGGGGAGUUGGGCAGGGGGAGGCAGACAGGCAAAACACAGCUGGCUAUCGCCCAUAAAACAAAGGUCCUGGCAGCCCAGGCUCCCUGAGUGAUUAAAACAGCCCUCGCACCCAUCCCAAAAAGGGCAGCCUACAGUCGGGGGUCUGGUUCGCUUGGACCUCCUGGCUCACCGUUCAGCUGCCUGACCUCAGCGGUUGUGACCUGGGACCAACAGGGGACCCCGGCAGGUGCCUAUCCACUAGAUGGCACUCUCUGCUCUGAGUCCGGGGGGACCACCACCCCAAACCAGUUUGGCCAGUGCCCAGCCCAGGGUGCCGCCGGAGAAAGCACGCCACUAAAACAUCGCAGAUAAUUUCUAAAAAGCACUUCUCAACAUGUCAUGCAAGAUGCGGUGGCUUUUUUUCCUUGCAUAAAUCCCAACCAGACUGCAGAAACAGAGGGAAUGAACAUUUAGUGACUUUGCUGAGGCCAGACACGGGUAUGUCUCUACUCUCUUUAAAUCCUGACCUUGGCAACAUCUGAUUUCCCUUGAUUUUACAGACUAGAGGACUUUGAGGUUAGUAACUUGCCCAAAGUCGGCUGGGAAGCAAGACCCAGGAUUCCAACUUAGGUCUGUGUGAUUCCUCUGCAAAAUGGAGAGGUGGAAGGAUGGAUGUGAGGUCUUUGGCGGGAUGGAUGGCUGCAUCAAGAUGCACGCAUAGCUGGAGAGAUGGCUGGCUACCUGAUGAAAGCUGGACUGUUGUAAGAAUCAAACGAGAUAAUGUAUGCUGAGGCAUGCUGUGAACACUACGUGCUGGGUACAGGAGGUACAAUAUUAACGAUCCUUGCUGCGUGGAGGGAACCUGAACUUAAAGUGUGAUGCUUUUCAUUUUCACACCACUUGGGAGGGAGGAAAGGCUGGUGGGAGGAUUGCCACCUGAGGCUCAGGGAGGGGACAGGCCUUCCCCAAGGGACCCCACAGUAUGAAGAAGGCAGAAGCCAGUCCCCACACCGGUGGUCUUCCCACGACUCCCUUAUGAAAGUCCCCCAAUGGACGGAUUGAUGUAUAUAUGACAAUAUCCACGUAGACCAUAACUCUAUAUAAUAUACAGAAUUAUUUUUAGGUCCCUGAGUCGCUCUGAGAACAGUUGUGCCAGGUGAUGCCUGCCCAGGACAGGCCGGGAGGGUAGGAAGGAAACUGGCUGUGUAUGGGUGGUGAGGCCCAUAGUGAAGCCUCCUUUGGUUUCUUGGAAUCAAGUUGGACAUCAAGAAUCUCAUGGCAUAGACUUCCCCAAGGGCAGUCCCAUUUCACAAAAUGAAUUUUCAUUUUCCAAAGCUCAUCCCUUAGUUGGAUUUCUGUUUUUCAGGGCAUUUGUUUAAGCUCUGAUGGCAUGUCCAAAAAAGAACAGACCCCAACAAUUUCCUGCCCGAGUCCCAUCCUUCCCCCAAACCCUUGGCUUGACCUGAGCAUUGAGCUAAUUCAUUUCUUUGAUCAAACUGGGGACUGUCUGAGCAGUGGGGUGGGCAGCAUGGGACAGGGAUAGGGUGGGUGUGUACAGGUGUGCAAGGCGGGCUACUUGAGGGGCGGGCGAUAGUUCAGGUCACCCUCCGGCUGGACCCACGAGGGCGCCGCGUUCCUCAUUCUACAAAUCGUACAAGUCGGGGCACAAGACAGAGAAGCCAGGUCACGUCUCUGCAGUUACACAGCUCACGAGUGCCUGCUGGGGUGGAACCUGGUCUGUCUGUCUGUCUAACACCAGAGCUGCUGCAGAGGGAGCCAAGAUUUGGGUGAGGGAGGGGCUCAGAGGUGGGGCGGAGGAUUUUUUUUUUUUUAACCUGGUUGCCAUUGGUGUGCAAAUAAUAACGUAACUCUGCUUGGGGACUAGUGCUGUGACUAUCUUGCUGAGGGCAAAACAGGCACAGAGAGGUUCGUUUGCUUUCCUGAUGUUGCCCAGCUAGUGGGGGGUUGAGGCUGGAUUUGGGAGGUGGGCACUGACGUGUUAGCAUAUGUGCUGCAACCACUGGGCUCACUGGCUCGUGACAUGAGCAUAGGGGUCGAAGUCUCAGCCAUCUGGAUUUGAGGGCUUUUACCAACUCCCCAGUGGUGGGUGUGCUCUGAGCUCAAGCUUGUAUAUUUCACACUCUCCCUUGACCCUUCUUUUUAGCCUUCAGUUGAAAAAUCCUGCAAGCCACUGAUCCACAGAAAAUAUUUAAGAAUACAUAUAUUACAUAUAUCUUGUAAAUUUAUUUACAUAUAUAUAAACAUAUAUUUGGAAAGGGAUUGUAUCCAGGAGAUUUGGGAGUGAUUGUUUAAGGUAGAGGGAGGCAGGGGCAUGAGAUGGGGAGGGAUGGAGGUGGGAACCAUCAGUGGUAAUUGUCAAGGGUGGUUUUUUUUUUACGUUUAAAGAUGUUUAUUAAAGUGUUAUUUUUUUUUUAAUUUAUUUAUUUUACUUUAAGGGUGGUUUUAACAAUCAAUACACUAAGAGAGAGGCAUGCUGGCAGCAAGGACAGGAGUGGGUCGUAAACCAGGGAUGGUGAUUAAUUCUCCACAACCGAGGGACAUUAAAAAAAGAGAUCAGAGUGGUUUGUGGCUAUUAAUUUUGUUAUUAAAAAUAAUCAAGGAAUAAAGAAAUAAGGUAAUAAAGGCCCCAAAUGGAACAAUUCUGAGAAUGUGUUCUGGGCAAAGGAUUAUACCUAAUCCAGGUCUGGUAACCUGACAUUAACAAGCAGAAAAGGCCUCGUAGGCUAUUUUCUUUCUUUUAAUGGGCUUUGUGUUCCAUAGAAUGGGCACACUGGGGUUUCUCUGCCAAAGAAGGUGACUGCGGACAAAUAAAAUCCGGCUUCAUGGGCGUUGAUUGAACAGUUAAAAAUGAAUGAAUGCAUUAACAAAAUUAGAGACAGGCAAGCAUGGACCAGUGAUGGCAAUGUGUUACCCACUCCCCAGCUUUAUAAAGAGAUCAUUGAUGAACAAGUAUUGUAUGUAUUUGUAAAGUUGGACAGUGCGACAUUUUGAUACGCACAUAUAUUGUGAAAUGAUUACCGUAAUCAAGCGAAUUAACGUAUCCAUCACCUCAUGUAGUUCCCUUUUUCUGUGUGUGCAGUGAGAAUACUUAAGGUCUGGUAAACACCUUUCUAUUCUCUGCCUCUGUGAGGUUAUUAUAAAAGAAAACCCAGGUUCCAGGCUGUUGAGGCUGUGGGUGGGAAGUGUAUGAACAACUAUACAGAAGAGUCAUUGGUCUUGGGCUGAAUGGUGACUUGAAGGGUAGUGGCUGCAUAGUUAAAAAUGACUUACAUGAGUACAGAAGUGUCGAGUACCAAGAAUGGACCACAAAGACAGCGUUUUAUGACCUAAAGACUAAGAUUUAUCCAUUUAUGUACAAUUGUGGACGAUUUAAAAUAAAACAAGACUUUUACCUCAGUGGAUGGUGGUAUUUGGAUGUACUAAUCAAUAUUUUUGUUCUAGAUCAGUGGUGGGUUCAUCUGUGUUUGUUGUAUUUAAAAAAAUCCAGGAAAACGUUGAAAAGGGUGAGUAGGAGUUGAAGAUGAUUGUUACUCCAAGUCCGCAUUAUCUGCGUCCGUUAGGAAGAAUAUCUGGGUUGGUCCCUUCUUGGGUAAGAUGCAGAGGGACGUUUGUUUGUGAUAGUCAUGAUUCUUGUUUUUGAUUAGAAUGGUAAAUACACUCAUUGUAAUAAUAGAUGAAUGAUUACAUACAACGAGAGGUACGCUUGGACCAGUGGUGAGACUGUCAUGAAGCAAAGAUUAUAAUUAAUCCUGUGCUUCUCACCUGACGGCCAUUAAAAAAUAUCUAGGUUUUAAAAUUCUUUUCAAUAUCAGCCUUGUGUUCCACAGAAUGGAGGCUCCAGAGUGAAAUUAAUGAUACUUUGUCAAUGAAGGUCUUGAUUGUGAACUCUAUGAGAAACAAGCCAUGAGCCAACCAAUGUAAGUAAUGUUUAGUGUUGGUGUUUUGAAGUUGGGCGGUUGGUUGGUGGUUGUUGAUUGCAUUAUUAAACGUGAAUGGACACACAAAUGAAGGCAAAGAUGACCGGUGUGAUGAGAAUGUCAUGAACCAAGGGUGAUUAAUUUCAUUUAGUGUAACUGUCAUCAAAUAAAAAUAAUAUUACUGAACUGUCCUCUGUAACAAAUUAGCAAAGAAAAGGAACACACACACACACACGUACGUAUCCUACAUAUAUAUCACACAUGUUAUGUUUAUACAUGUAUCCUAUAUAUAUAUCACCUAUGUAAUAUGUGUUAUGUUUAUUUUUCAUAUUUUCAGGCUGGGGUGGGUUUAUAUGUGUCUAUGAGGUAAUUAAACAUAAAUAGGUGCAUGUAUAAAGAAGAUCAAGAGAGUCAAGCAUGAACUAUUGAAGACAAUGUACCCUGACCUAAGAUUUAUGAUUACACAGCUCUACAAAUUUGCAAGACAUUAAAACACAAAUAUUUAUGCUGUUUCAUUCAUUUCAGCAGCAUUCUGCUGUUAAUUUAUGCGCUACAUUUUUGCAUCAACGCUUCCCUAAUGAAGAAGUUUGGGGUGUUAAGUCAGUGGCAGAGGGCCACAUAAUGAAGUGAGGUCUUGGUAGUUUUCUGCUGGUUGACUAGAAUUCGUCAGUGUUCUUUCAUGAUUUUUGUUUAAAGGGAUAAGUAAAAUUUAAAAGGGCCAAGCAUAGAUAAUGAGGAUGAUAUUUCAUAGACAGUGAGGCUUAUUAAUUAAAUUCUACACAAAUAAAGGCCAUUAAAAAUGAUCCAGGGUGUUCAUUUUUCUAAUAGUUGCUGUCUGUUGCACAGAAUGGACAAAUCAUAGUUUAUGUAGUCAUGAAAUAUUUAUGAGAAAUUGACUCUUACUUGGGUAGAUAAGGUACUUAAGGAAAAUGUAAUUAAUAGUUGAUGUUCUUAAAUCUUGUCUGGAGAGUUAUUCAAGGGUGUUCAUAAAUAAGCAAAUGAAUGAAUGAACAAACACACGAAUAAAACAAGAGAGGGCAAACAUAGGACAAAGGUGAUCGUAUCUCAUUGUAGUAAAUUCUUUUUAUUGUAUGUAGCUUAAGCAUCCAUUUUGAACCCAAGUUUAACUUUCUAAUUCCAGAAGCAGGUUUACUCACCCUUGACACAAUUUGCAGUUCUUCACAUCCUCCCAGUUCUUAACGUGACAGAUCCAGAUAUAACUACCUUGUACAGCCGCUUCCAGGACACUGCCUCCCUAACGAACCGCCAGACGCAGCCCACUUGACUUUCCUCACUGACCCCACAGCCUGUGUGGACCACACAGAUAUAGUGGCUUGCUCUGAACUCACCAGUGAGAACUCUGAAGGAAGCCUGCUUGGGAGAUGCCCUAGACCACAGUACAGGCUUUCCCCUUCCUGGUGGCCGUGUGAGGCAUGCAGGAUCUAAUGAGUGCACUGCAGGUGAUCUGCUGUUAUGUAAUGAUGAGGACUGGGCUCCUUUCUCUGUGGGCAAGGAGCAUGGAGGCCAAUGAAAGGAUAAGUCUACUUUACUUCCACAUAACAACCACAGGAUAGAUGAAAUUCAUUUUCUAAGAAACAAAAUCUUGGCAGUUAGAUCCAUGGGGUAAAGAAUAUAGAUACUAAUGUAAGUAACACCUCAAGUUCAUAUCCUUGGUUUGAAUGCUUUGCUCAAUAGUGUUUAGUGGUAUUUCAAAGGAAUCAAUGUCUAUAACAGCAAUUAAAAUCACCAGGAAUGGACCAAAUGUGUUCCGAAAAUGUGUUUAAUAUAAUUUGGCACAACUGAAGUGAUAAGAAAUAUAGUAGUUAGACCAUUUAUAUUCACAACUAUUUAACAUUGUAUCUUAUUUUCUACCACAAAUGAUUUAAUCUUUUCCAUAUUGGUAUGAUCCCGGCUGAUAACUCUUUGUGUGGCAGCCUGAGAGAAUAUGGAAGACAUUGUCAGUGUUGGAAGAUGGUGGUUUUAUAGCUUUUCAUUGCACUAUCUUUAAAACAUGGGCAAAUUGAAUAAAAGAAGACUACAGAAGAAAUAAUGAGUGAAUAUAAGCCAGUUGAUUCAAUCAUUUAAAAAAGAAUUGUUAUCCUGAGUAAGGAGCAUAGAGACAAAUAUAAGUAAGUUCCUUGUUUCAUGUUCUUCCUUUGAAUGGUUCGUUCUUGAGUGUUAGCUAAAGGAUUUCAAAGAAAUCAAUGUCUACAUACGUAAAAUAAAUAGAACACCCCAAAUGGACCAGUGAUGGGAAUGUGUAAUGAACCAUGGAUUAUGUUUAAUCUAAAUUGUGACAACUGAAGUGAUUAUAAAAGAAGACAAAAGUUAAUGUAUUCUCAGAGCAGCUCAACAUUAUCCUUUAUUUUAUGCCAUGGUUAUUUUACCCCUUAUGGGUACAGAUCCUGCCGACAUCUGUUUUGGGGCAGUCCAUAAGAAUAUGUAAUAUGGCAAUUUCAUUGUUUUUCAUCUAUUUUUUGGCAAUAGAUGAAUUAAAUAGAAGUGGGCUAUAUAAAAAUGAAUGCUAAAUGUGAAUUGGUAGCAUUCAGGGGUGUUGAUCAAUUCACAUGUACACUUUUAAGUGUCAUUGUCUAAGAAAUGUAGUCUGUAGUUCUAUGGGCCAAGAGCCUAAAAUUUAAUGAUCCUGUUUUGGGGAUUUUUGAUUGCAUCAUUAUUUGUGAGUCAAUCGGUUAAUCAAUAGAUGAAAAAAAUGCACAUCGUGGACCAGUGAUGAAUGUCAUGGGGUUUCUGAAACAACAAUUUUGAUUAAACCCAUCUGCAACUCUGAGGUCCAUUACAAAAAGUCACCUCUUUAUUCUUCAUGGGAAAUGAGUCUACAGAACCUUGUUCAUGGGCCUUUGUGGUUUGAGGGUACGAAUUACAUUAUUAUAAUGCGUGAAUACAGAAUUUUAUCAAUGAAUGAAGAAUAAGAAAGGUAUGCAUGCACUUAUCUCUUAGGGCAUGUAAUGCAACAUGGAUUAUUAUUAAAACAAUUUUGAGAUUCUUAGUCCCAGUAAAUUAAUAGUUAAGGCCCUUAUCACUUUGGUAAGGAGCAUAUGGUCAUCUGUGCACGAGACUGAAUGUUUUUGUUCUGUGUUGAGGCAGGUUGCCGACUGCUCAUUUUAUUAAGGGAAAGGAAAUACAUUUACAUAAAUAAAUAAUUGAUUGAGUAACUGUAUAAUUGAGAGAGGGCAAGCGUGGAACAGUGAUGAGAUCUGCAUACAAACACACUCAUGAUUAAUUCAAUCUUUUAUGGAAUUUUACUUGAGUAAACAAACAUUAAACAAGUUUGGUACUAGAUUCACUAGUGAUUAUUAUAUUACCUAAAACACAAAAAUUCAUGGUGAGAGAUACUUCAUCUUGACAAAAGCAAUUUAUGGAAGAUAAUAAAUAGAAAGAAGUGCUCUCUCUUCUCAAGUGUUCAGAAUAGGCACAAAACAAGGCUGAUGGCUGUUUACUACGCAACUGUCAUUGAUUUUAAAGAGCUAAACAUAGAGUCUUUGAUUCUUUUUAAAAUUUGCUUUUUAUACUGCAGAAUGAACGCACUCUACCUGAUUUAAUUAUAGUCUUCUGGUGAAGAUCUUGCCUUUUAUCUCUGUGAAUCAGGAGAGAAGAGAUUGAUAAUGAGUAGAGCAGACUGGAUUUGGUCAUUUCCCCAAGGUGAAGCACAUGGCGUUUUCUUCUGUGGAAUGAAGACUGUGGCUGAUUUAAUCAGUCUCUGUUGAUGAAGAUCUUGGCUGUUACCUUUUUGGAAUGGAUGUGCAAUGAUUCCAUUAUUCUCCAGCGAGAAGAUCCUGGUUGUUGUCUGUUUGAGUAAUGAAUGAGUGUAGAAACCUAUGUAAGUAACAAAGUGAUUGCUUUUGCUUUAGUGGUUAUCAUGAGAGUUAACUCUUGCUGGAAAGGAAUAAAUGGCUAUGUAUACCGUUAAAUGAAUGACGUUUGUGUGUGAAUGAUUCAGCACAUCUAUGGUCAGUGAAGGAGAAAAAUGCAGGACCAUCUUUUUCAUUUUUAAUAGUUAAUUAUUCGGUUAAUGUAAAAAUUAAUUAUUCAGUUUUAUUUGAGUCGCAGUUGAUCUUAAGCUCCCUCUAUAAAGACAGCUUAGUCACAUUCCAAGAUGGAGGACACUGUCAGUGUGGAGUAAAAUGGCAGGUUCAUAGUUGUUUAUUGUCACGUCCUUAAAAUAUGGACAAUGUCAAUGAAAGAUGAUGAAGCCUUGACCAGUUAAGAGUAUGGGGUUAAUAUGAAGCAGGUAUGGUCAUUUUAAAGUGAACUUAAAUUGUUAUCUAUGUGAGAGGGGCAUAGAGACAGCUAUUCAUUAGAGACAUAGCUCUUUCCUUGUAUUUAGGAAUGAGGUUUAUCGUACUGCUAGUCUACUAAAAGUUAACUUUGAGAGCUAGCCAUAGGGCAAUCAUAAGCGAGUGAUAAAACUCUGUUACCUAUCAAAAAUUUCAAUUAAUCCAGUAACACAUGACACCAAUAAACAGAAGGAAAAAUCACAGGGCUUUUAUUUUUUCUAACAUUUGUUUUGUACUUCCCAGAAUGGAGGCAUGAUGGGUGAUCCAAUCAUCUUCCACCGAUGAUGGUUUGAUGGCUGCCUGUGUGAGUAUGGGGAACACAUGCUGCUGUUAGUGAUUGUGUUAAGUUCUUGUCUAAUAUCAAGGAUUUUGUUAGUAAAUUUUGAUUUUAUUAUAUAAACAAGUAGAAAAGAAGAUUGAAGCAUUGCUCAACUAUGAAUAAAUGUGAUCAGGCAAGAAACUCUACUAAUAGAAAACACUAAAGUCUCAAGAAAUCAGUGGAUCAACCAUGUUACUUCUUUGUUUAAGUGUCUUAAGACACUGCGUGUAAGAAAUAGUCAAUCUUAUUGACUGGUCUGCUUUGUACUCCUCAGAAUGAACAGCCCCAUCGGAUGUAAGCACUGUGCUGUGACCAUGAACUCUACGUUACCUCUGUGUGUCACAGGAAGACUCUUAACGAAUGCUCCCAAGUUGACUUAAGCUGUGUUCCAUGGUCGCCAGGUUUCUGGCUGCCUCUGUGUGUUAGAAGCUUGGAGACCAAUGUGAGUAUAGUCAAAGUUCUUACCCUGGUUCUAGGGUUUUUAAAGGGUAUUCAUUGUUUUACUAAAAGCAUUACAGAUAAUCCAAAAGGUUAACUGUGGUCCAGUGAUAAAUCUGGCAUUGCCAUGAAACAUGUUGAUUAUCUAAUAUUUACAAAAUUAAAAAUGGUUAAUGAUGAAAUCACUGUGACAGAUGAUCCUGUAGCUAGCUAUAAAGUAUUUCUUGUUCUUAAGUUUUUGUAACAUUAUUUAAUUAUUAUAUUAUGUGUUUGAAGCUCAGUGGUCCCACACAGGGAUAAUCUAGUUCACUGGUUCUAUUGGACAUGAUUCUGUAGAUAAAUGGCACAUAUAUGUAAGGAGCAUAGUCUUGAUCUUUGUGUUCACAGGUUUUGAUUCUAUCGUUAUAACUGGGUAUAUUAAAAUUAUAAAAAUAAUCAACAAGCAAAUAUAAAUAAAUACAGCUAGGCGAAGCAUCAUCCAAUUAUUAAAAUAUGUUAUGAGGCAAUAAAACCUAUUAAUAUAUAUUAGAAGAUAAUAGAUUAAGCACGACAUGGUUUAAAAAUAUAACUUAUUUGACUAAUAAUUAUGUAGUCAGUGCAAAUAAUAAGUGCUAUUACUAUAGAUCAUUGGAAUAGUCAAUAAACAAGUACAAGUAAAUCAAUACAAGUAAAAUAUUACCUAAUUACACAUAUUAAUAAAUACCUAAAUGAUCCAGUAAAUAAAUAAAAUGUGGAAAGUGAGAUCAAUGCAGAUAAUGUCUCUAUAUUAAAAAUCACCUUUUUUGCUUUGUACUCGCCGGAAUGGGUGCAUUUGAAAUGAUUACGUUUGCCCUGUGUGUUUGGUCCACUGAAACCAAUGUGAGUAAUAAUGGUUAAAGUCUCAUCUUGGUUGAAUAUGCCAUUUUUAAGGGUAUUCACUCCAUAUUUAAAAAGUGUGAAACGUCAUCACUGAAAGCCAUGCGUGGCAAGAUGGUAUACAUUGAACUAUUAUGCACUGCAAUCUUAUAUUAACUAAGCCAUAUAUGAAAUGUUGAGAAUGAUCAGUGAAACCGUGUGGAUGUGGCAAAUUAGAAGACAGAUGUAGGAUAUUUAAGCAUCUUGGCCUUGAGUUUGUGAUUCAAGAGUAUUUGUUUUAUUAUUGUCAGAGAGUAAAUGAAUUGGUCCGUAACAAAAGCAGAUAAGAAUGAAGAGAGAGAGUACCAAACCCGGACCAAUGAUGAUGACUGGUGGCGUAUGAGUCCUGGAUGAUGAAUAAUACGUGUCUGGAAGUCUGAGGUCUGGCAAUAAGAAGCCUAGCUCAUUGCCAUUAUUGGGAGUGAUGCUGUGGACAGAUGUUAGGGAUAAAAAAAAAUCAUGGUCUUGGCCUGGUGUUCAUAGAUUUUGAUUUUAUUAUUAUAAACAAACAUAAAUAAAUAUGAAUAAGUGAAGUACUGUUCAAUUACAAAAAUUCUAUGAAUAGAUAAAAGAACUACUCAUAUAUAUUGAAAACAAUGGGGUCUAUUAUGAAAUAACAGUCAAUAUACAGAGAGCGUUCUUGAUUUGUGUCAGUGGCAAGAUCAAUGUUGUUAGUUUUCUAAAAAUAACUAAUAAAUGUUAACUCAAAAUUAUAAAUACCUAAAUGACUGGCUGAAUGAAACGUGAUAUGCAUAGAUCAAGGAAAACUAUGUCUCCAUUUUUAUUUUCUUUAUCUGCCCUGCUUUGUACUUCUCAGAACGGGCAGACCCACGUCUUCUGCUGUGAUCGCCCUCUGUGGUGGCCUCCGGGUGGGAGCCCGGACACUAAUGGAGGUUGGCCCUGGAGCUGAUUUAAGGAUUCUUUGGUAGUCACAGAUAUAUAGUUGCCUCUGUAUGAAAACCAAUCUUCUCAGAGUGGGCACACCAGAACAUGCGUAAGCAUCCUGCCAUGUUCACGAGCUCCAUGGUUGCCUCUACGUGUGUGAGCCUGUGUGUGAGCCUCAGUCCUCUGUGAGUAGUCAGAGUUCUUGUCUUGGUUUCGGUGGUUUGUUUAGGGUGUUCACUGUAAUAUUUUUUAAAAAUUAAAUAUAUUCAAAAAGAGUUAUCCAUGGCCUAAUGACCAAUGUGGAAUUGAUAUGAACCAUUAUGUCGACUAAUUUACAACAACAAGGAUGAUCAAUGAAAGAGCUAUAUAUUCAGUGCAGUAAGUGAGUCCAUAUAGUUGUUAGGGAUACUUGAAGAUCUUGUUCUUGAGUUUUUGAUUCAUAGAUAUUUAUUGUUUUAUUUUAGUGAAUUAAUAAAUUGAUCAGUAACCGCAUGUCUAUAAGAAUGAAGAAAAAGAGUCCUAGGUCUGAACCAAUAUUCUAGGUGAAUUAAUGAGUUAAUCAGUAUGUAAUAUAGAAAUGAAUGAGGAGAAAGUGGUCCUUCCUGGACCAGUGCUGACAACUGCCAGCAUAUGUGUCUUCCAUGAUGAAUGAUGCAUGUCUGAAACUCUGAGGUCUGAACCAAAAGGAAUCUAGUCCAUCCCUCUGUUUAGAUGAUUCUAUAGACAGAUGUCAGGAGAACAAUAUGGCCUAUUCUUGUCUUUAUGUUUAUUAAUUUUUAAAAAUAUUUUAAUUAAAGUAGCAAUGGCAGAGUCAAUAAACAUGUAUAAAUAAAUAAAGAUGACACAUAAAUUACUGUUUGAUGUUAAAAUGUAUAAGAACAAAUAAUACUAAUAUAAACUGAAAUCGAUAAUAAGUAGAUCAGCAUAUUACAUCUUUCACGAAAGACCAUAUAGACAGUGAUAAGUAAUAGUUAUUGCUCUAAAUCAGUUGCAAGUUUAACAUUUGUUGUAUUAAGAGAAAAAUUAAUAAAUAUCACCGUAAAUUAAUACAUAUCUAAGUAACUAUGCAAAUGAACAGUGGAAAGUAUGGACCAAUGGAGAGAACGUCUUAAUGUUUUUAUCAUCUCUGCCUUGCACUCCUCAGAAUGGAUGCGCUGAGCUGACUUAAGCAUUCUUCCUUAGUCACGAUUAAGUGUCCUCCAUAUGAAAGAGACCAGUGAUGGACGCUCCUGAGCUGGUAGAACGUCUGGCCUUGGUCUGGAGCCACAUGUCUGCUCCUUUGUAGAGGUGUACAUGGGCAAUAAUGGAUGCAGUGAGCUGAUCAUUUUGCUGUGAUCAAGGCUGUGUUGCCUCUAUGUUAGGCCAACAAUGGACGUGCCUUCACUGACCUACGUGUUUGCAAGUUCCAUGGCUGCCGCAGUGUUUGGAGCAUGGAGACCGAUGGAUGUACUGGCACUGAUUUAAGGAUUCUUUCAUAGUCACAAGGUGUAUGGUUGCCCCUGGGUAGGUGCAUGGGGACCAGUUGAGUUGAUGAAUUAAUCUAUCAAUAAGUGAAGAUAUGAAUAAAGAAAAAGAGCCCUAAGUCUGGACCAAAGAUGAAGUUUGGUGAUGUAUAAAUUAUGGACAAUAAACACCUGUGCCUGGAACUUUGAGGUCUAACAUGAAAACUAGUUUACUGCCUAUGAUGUAAUUGAUCCUAUAUACGUAUAUGAGGAAUAGCAACGAUCUGAUUGUAACUUCAUACGUUGAUUAGUGCACAAAUAACCAAAGAAAUGUAUGAAUACCUGAAGAAAAAUG